UACGUAGGGGGCAAGCGUUGUCCGGAUUAACUGGGUGUAAAGGGCGCGUAGGCGGGCUUACAAGUCAGAGGUGAAAGCCUACAGCUCAACUGUAGAACUGCCUUUGAAACUGUAAGUCUUGAGUGCGGAAGAGAGAGAUGGAAUUCCAGGUGUAGUGGUGAAAUACGUAGAUAUCUGGAAGAACACCAGUGGCGAAGGCGAUCUCUUGGUCCGUUACUGACGCUGAGGCG
rnacentral:rRNA from 1 species